GACGCAACUUAUGUACACCGAAAUGUAUUCAAUAAUCAAUUAUAUGUGAUAAAUAAUUUGUUAUAUCAACUAACUAUUGAUAGAAAUAGUUUAUAAAGUGUGAUUUUUUUUCUUUAUUUUCUUGUAAUUAAUAAUUCACAGUAAAGCAACAAAAGCAAAGUGAAAAUAAUUUAUAAUAUAAAUAUACAUGUUAAAAUGACUCCAAGUUAUUUUUGCUUACGUUACGUACUUUUGAGUUGCUUCAUUUUGCUCGGAAUUUUAGGUACAAUAAUUUGUACAAUAAGUAGUUUUUUUAUUUAUCAACUACACGAGCAUAACUAUCUUACUUCUAGUAAUGACACUUUACUACUUGAUUAUGUUAAAGGAUCAUCAUCAUCUGCAAUUAUAUUAAUUAUUAUAGGAAUACUAAUAUUUGCAUUUUCCAUAUAUUUCUGGUAUAUUAUUGACUAUAAAUAUAACCGUCGACAAAUAAUGACGUUUUUGUCAACUAUUAUAUUAAUCUUUAUUAUAAAAGUUACCACUGGUAUAUGGGUACUGAUAAUACAUGAAAAAUUGGGUACGUUAUUAUUAGCGGGUUUGAAGAAAACAUUGGCAGUACCAAAAUUUAGUAUAUAUAUAAAAGAAACUUUUUUACAAUCACCAUUAUUUAAUAAUAAUCCAGAUAAAAUAAAGCUAAUUUGUUGUGGAUAUAAUGAAACGUCAACAUCUGAAUUGGAAGAAUUAACAUCUUGGUUCUGUUGUAAUUUUAAAAGACUAAAUAAUGAAUCAAGAAUUAUAUGCGAAAAUAUAUAUGGAAAAGAAUGCUGGCAUUUAGCAAUACAUUCGAUUCGUUCAAUACUUUUUCAUAUUUUUUUAUUAAUCCUUUGUUCAAUUAUUAUACAGAUUUUAAUUAUUACAAGCAUAAUUUAUUGUAUUAAAAUUAUCAAGAAAAAAAAUGUAUCAAAACGAAUUGAAUGUACUUUGCAAAAACCUUCAGCUCCACCUACAAAUACGUAUAUUACAAAUUAGUGCUGGAUCAAACGAUUUAUUAUUUUAAUAAUAAUUUAAUAUAAACUUUAUUUGAAAUCUUAUUCAUCUCGUAUCGCUGAUGGAGUUCUUGGUAUUACGACGGAUGAUGUCAUUACAUAUUUUUUGUUAUCUGAUUUUAUGAAUCAUAUAUUUUUGGUAAUCUAUAAAAAAUAAUCUCAUCUAAAACUUUGAAUUAUUAAUUAUGAAUAAAAUAAAAACUAAAGCAACAACUAUUUAACAUUCAAUAGUGUAUUAAAAUAAUAAUAUGUAUACGUACACGCAAUAAUUAAAAGAUGAC